GCGGGCGGAGGCGCAGAGGCAAGAAGGAGCUGGUCUCUUUGAGGGCGAAGGCGGUUCAUAGGGUGUGUGCACAUCUAAUCCCUCUCCUUCGAGAGUGCCGCCACCCUCAUUCUUAGGGAAGGGGCGGGGAAGGGUUCCUGGGAUCGUCAUCCUACCUAAGCACCCCAGUGAGUGUUCAGUUCCCUGCCGCAGCUAGUGCCCUGUGCCCAGUGGGAAGCCACGUGGCCAGGCCUAGCGAGAUCUCCGGGCGCGGUGGCCCGUGUGUGCCUCUAGCCAGGCCGCCGUGGCCAGGGCUUGGUGGUGUGUUUGACGCUAACCUUCCAUGUCAACUCUGUGCGUUUCCCCAACACCCCGCACUGACCCUGUCCUCCUGGCUGCUGGUGACCCCUGACUCCCUGCCUCCUGACUGCUGGUUUUUAUGGGAGAGGAAGAAGUGGGGAGUAUGAAGACCCCAGGAAAAGAGUUUUUAAAGAGGAGGAGAUCCAAUUUCACACCUUUGAGUAGUCCAGCUCUGGAAUCCAGUACAGGAUUUUUGGAAGAUUCACCAAGAUCCAUCUUUCCUUUUCCUGCUAUUCUUUCCAAAUAGAUUACCUGGCACUUGUCCAGUCUUUCUGCAGUCAACAUCGCCCAGAUUCCAUGCAGAACCCUUUGCAGACUCCUGAGGAGGUACAGACAAGGAGUGUCCCUGUCCUCAUGGUGCUACAUGAAAAGGGAUCAGGACAGCAUAGUGUGUCCUCUGUCUUGAGAAGUUCGCAUCCAGCUCUGCCAUGGACCAGCCAUGCUCAUGGAUUGCCUCUCAUUUUGCUACGGACAGGAGACAGGAAAAUACUGGGUAGAAGAGGGCGGUUCCCGACAAAGGCCCCAACCUCAAGCCUGAAGACCCACGACCCUAAAUGAGGACAGCCAUUUCUGAUUUUGUGCCCAAAAAUUUGCCUUUUGGCCUGCCACACCCAACAUCUUGCCCCUAUAUAAACCCGAGACCUUAGCGGGCACACACACAAUCAGCCAAAUGUUGGGAUUAGCAGACCAGUGGACCAGCGGACCAGCAGACCAGUUAACGGUGGAACAACGCAGCAGAGAAAGAGAGAAGAGGAGGGAUGUCUGAAUGCCAAGGGGAAUUCGGCCGCGGGCAGUUAGAAAAGUCUGGCUGCUGGGCGGCCCGACUCUAGGGGAAGACCACCUUCCCACUCCAUCCCCUGUUCUGGCUCCCCAUCCAUCUCCCUGAGAGCCACCUCUACCACUCAAUAAAACCUUUCAUUCAUCCUUUGA
ensembl:lncRNA novel transcript